GGGGAAUUUUGCGCAAUGGGCGAAAGCCUGACGCAGCAACGCCGCGUGUGUGAUGAAGGUCUUCGGAUUGUAAAGCACUUUCGACCGGGACGAAAACCCGUAGCCCAACACGCUACGGCUUGACGGUACCGGGAGAAGAAGCACCGGCUAACUCUGUG
rnacentral:rRNA from 1 species